GUACCCUUUUAAAUUAAUCCGAGAACAACAAUCGUCAACCACAAAUCCUAGAAAAUAUUACAUAGUAAAAGAAUAUAGGUUGGGGAAAAAGAAGGAUAUGGAGAAAGAAAGGCAAAAAGAAAUGUCUCGUCCAUCAAAGAGUGCUGGAUUAGAACCAGGUUCUGUCAGAGCCAAGACCUGGUAGAGGACACAUCAGUAAAGCUACUUUUUUAAAUACAAUUGAAGUUACUAUCAGCUUAAUAAAUAUUUAUUAUGAAAAUUGUAUUUAUUUUAUAAUAAUAAUAAAAAGCGGGCAAAACUUGUAACAUGUCAAUUUAUUACAAACAAAGUCAAUACAUUAGUAUGUACAACUACUCUGACACAUUUAAUAUAUAUGUACAUUAUGUAUAAAUAAUAUGCACACACAUUCAUGACUCACAU